UACAGAGGUCUCAAGCGUUGUUCGGAUUCAUUGGGCGUAAAGGGUGCGUAGGCGGCGCGGUAAGUCGGGUGUGAAAUCUCGGAGCUUAACUCCGAAACUGCAUUCGAUACUGCCGUGCUUGAGGACUGGAGAGGAGACUGGAAUUCAUGGUGUAGCAGUGAAAUGCGUAGAGAUCAUGGAGAGACCAGUGGCGAAGGCGGGUCUCUGGACAGUUCCUGACACUGAGACACGAAGGCCAGGGGAGCAAACGGG
rnacentral:rRNA from 1 species